UACGUAGGGUGCGAGCGUUGUCCGGAAUUAUUGGGCGUAAAGAGCUCGUAGGCGGUGUGUCACGUCGGGAGUGAAAAACUCGGAGCUCAACUCCGAGCCUGCUUCCGAUACGGGCAGACUAGAGGUAGGCAGGGGAGAGCGGAACUCCUGGUGUAGCGGUGGAAUGCGCAGAUAUCAGGAAGAACACCGGUGGCGAAGGCAGCUCUCUGGGACGGUACUGACGCUGAGACGCGAAAGCGUGGGGAGCGAACAGG
rnacentral:rRNA from 1 species